UACGUAGGGUGCAAGCGUUAAUCGGAAUUACUGGGCGUAAAGCGUGCGCAGGCGGUUUUGUAAGUCUGUCGUGAAAUCCCCGGGCUCAACCUGGGAAUUGCGAUGGAGACUGCAGGGCUAGAAUCUGGCAGAGGGGGGUAGAAUUCCACGUGUAGCAGUGAAAUGCGUAGAGAUGUGGAGGAACACCGAUGGCGCAAGGCAGC
rnacentral:rRNA from 1 species